CCUACGGGCGGCAGCAGUGGGGAAUAUUGGACAAUGGGGGGAACCCUGAUCCAGCCAUGCCGCGUGUGUGAAGAAGGCCCUCGGGUUGUAAAGCACUUUCAGUGAGGAAGAACGCCUGGUGGUUAAUACCCAUCAGGAAAGACAUCACUCACAGAAGAAGCACCGGCUAACUCCGUGCCAGCAGCCGCGGUAAUACGGAGGGUGCGAGCGUUAAUCGGAAUUACUGGGCGUAAAGCGCGCGUAGGUGGCUUGAUAAGCCGGUUGUGAAAGCCCCGGGCUCAACCUGGGAACGGCAUCCGGAACUGUCAAGCUAGAGUGCAGGAGAGGAAGGUAGAAUUCCCGGUGUAGCGGUGAAAUGCGUAGAGAUCGGGAGGAAUACCAGUGGCGAAGGCGGCUUUCUGGACUGACACUGACACUGAGGUGCGAAAGCGUGGGUAGCAAACAGGAUUAGAUACCCGAGUAGUC
rnacentral:rRNA from 1 species